rnacentral:rRNA from 1 species
GGAUGAACGCUGGCGGCGUGCCUAAUACAUGCAAGUCGAGCGAACAGAGUAUGUGCUUGCUCCUCUGACGUUAGCGGUGGUCGGGUGAGUAACACUGGGAUAACCUACCUAUAUGACUGGGUUAAUGUCGGGAAACCGGAGCUAAUACCGGAUAAGUGUGGUGACCGCAUGGUUCAAUAGUGAAAGAUGGGUUUGUUUGCACUUAUAUGUGGUUCCGCGCCGCAUUAGCUAGUUGGUAAGGUAACGGCUUACCAAGGCAACGAUGCGUAGCCGACCUGAGAGGGUGAUCGGCCACACUGGAACUGAGACACGGUCCAGACUCCUACGGGAGCACGCAGUAGGCACACUUCCGCAAUGGGCGAAAGCCUGACGGAGCAACGCCGCGUGAGAGAUGAAGGAAUUCGGAUCGUAAAACUCUGUUAUUAGGGAAGACAAAAAAUGUAAGUAACUAUGCACGUCUUGACGGUACCUAAUCAGAAAGCCACGGCUAACUACGUG